rnacentral:rRNA from 1 species
GACGGAAGGUGCAAGCGUUGCUCGGAAUCACUGGGCGUAAAGGGUGCGUAGGCGGCCGUGCAAGUCUGGCGUGAAAACCCGCAGCUUAACUGCGGCUUGCGGUUGAUACGGGCGGGCUAGAGUUCGGUAGGGGAGACGUGGAAUUCCUGGUGUAGCGGUGAAAUGCGCAGAUAUCAGGAGGAACACCGGUGGCGAAGGCGGGAUCCUGGGCCAGUACUGACGCUGAGGAGCGAAAGCGUGGGGAGCAAACAGG